CGCAAGAGCUGUCAAGGGCAGAGCUAUGGCCAUGCCGGAGGCGGGAGGCGGACGGAUUCGAGUUUCUAGCAGAUCCAAUCGACAGAUUUCCAUUGCCGGAUCUCGCCGCGGCCUAAUACUUGCUGCGCGACGAAGUAAAUCAAUCUCUGUUGUGCGCGGUCGCUCAAUCUAGCAAUAGUGGUGCCGGCGAGACGGCGGUAGCAGUACAAGAAGAAUUUGACCACAGUUCCAAAAGGGUUGCCCUGUCGAAUCCAAAGCAUUCGACAGACAAAGACGAUGGACAAGCACCUGACUCGUCGAGCAGGUUUCAGUUGCCAGAGGCCACCAUCUGUCAACGGUUAGUGAACGGCGAAGCAAGCCAGGCUUUGGUAUGCAACAGCCGUUGAAUCCAGCAUUGGUAAUGUGGGUGAUCCACCGCCCCACAAUACAAGUAGACAUCAACAGCACUUGCAAUGGAAUGGCCCUGUCCCUUCCGACCCGAGAACAAUCGACAGGCAAAGAAGAUCCUCAAGCACCUGGCUGGACCAAAAGGUAUAACAAUUGUGGAUGUGUGUUUCUGUUUCAAGGAUAUGACAAUUUUGAGUUGGCUGUAUAUUUAUAUUCCUCCAAAUUUCACUGCCUGUAAAGUACAAGGCUGCUGCUAGACGUCGAUACGUUGUGUUUUGUGAUUACACACUAUUAGAAACUGUUUCUAGAAUAACAUGUAGCUGUGUGGUGCGGGGUACGUGUAGGGCACGCACCUAUUUAUAUUCCUCCAAAAGUUGUUCUGCAUAUGGUCGAGAAAAUAGCUGUGGAGACAAAUUUUCCUUAUAGUUUGUUUAUUUCCACAUUCUGUUGUUGAGGGCUUGGCAGCCAAAAAAUAGAAAUUUGUGUAAUAAAACCUGUUGAAGCUACACUGCUGUCUGUUGUACUUGUUAACUUGCCAGCAAUGAGCAGAACCAGCAGCAUCAGUUUUUAGGAUCUCAAGAUCAUAUCGCUGGGAGCAGUGAACCAGAGGAUACGGCUACCAUGGAGCGGACAUCUGUGAUUCAGGCUUCAGUUCACGGAAGAGCUGACAGUACAUCAAUGGCUGGUGAAGGAUUCGACGACGAACCUGAAGUGCAAUCCCGUCAUACAGCCGUGGAAGAGGUCGGCACCUAUGAUCCAGAGAAUCGAAUCUGCACCGGCGGUGACAACAGGUCGGAUUCAAGCAGCUACCGCGAGUCAACGACCAGGGGAGCUGAAUAGAUCUGGUGGCCCGACCAAACCCUUUCACAAACAGAACACCACUUCGUACGCCGUCUGGGACAGUGGUACGUAUUGGUACAUGUCGAAAGCCGUCAUCAACGCGCUGCCGUCGGCCGGCACGUCCCGAAGAACGGCGUCUCAAUCCAUCACGUAUACACAUUAAAUGCGCUCACGUCCUCGUCCAGGCAUACGUCUUGCGUCGUGCAUCCCGAAACGAACGAACGCAUAGUGAUUCCGGGAGCGCGCGUGCUCGUCCGCGCCAACAAAUUUCCGCCUACACCAUUUGUUUUACAAAUGGGCUCUAGGACUU